GAUGAACGCUGGCGGCGUGCUUAACACAUGCAAGUCGAACGAAGCAUUUAAGACAGAUUACUUCGGUUUGAAGUCUUUUAUGACUGAGUGGCGGACGGGUGAGUAACGCGUGGGUAACCUGCCUCAUACAGGGGGAUAGCAGCUGGAAACGGCUGGUAAUACCGCAUAAGCGCACAGUACCACAUGGUACAGUGUGAAAAACUCCGGUGGUAUGAGAUGGACCCGCGUCUGAUUAGCUUGUUGGCGGGGUAACGGCCCACCAAGGCGACGAUCAGUAGCCGACCUGAGAGAGUGACCGGCCACAUUGGGACUGAGGCACGGCCCAGACUCCUACGGGAGGCAGCAGUGGGGAAUAUUGCACAAUGGAGGAAACUCUGAUGCAGCGACGCCGCGUGAGUGAAGAAGUAGUUCGCUAUGUAAAGCUCUAUCAGCAGGGAAGAUAGUGACGGUACCUGACUAAGAAGCUCCGGCUAAAUACGUG
rnacentral:rRNA from 1 species